rnacentral:rRNA from 1 species
UACAGAGGUUCCAAGCGUUGUUCGGAUUCACUGGGCGUAAAGGGUGCGUAGGCGGUCGGGUAAGUCUGACGUGAAAUCUUCAAGCUCAACUUGGAAACUGCGUCGGAUACUAUUCGGCUCGAGGAAUGGAGGGGAGACUGGAAUUCUCGGUGUAGCAGUGAAAUGCGUAGAUAUCGAGAGGAACACCAGUGGCGAAGGCGAGUCUCUGGACAUUUCCUGACGCUGAGGCACGAAAGCCAGGGGAGCAAAACGG